GACGAACGCUGGCGGCGUGCCUAAUACAUGCAAGUAGAACGCUGAAGAGAGGAGCUUGCUCUUCUUGGAUGAGUUGCGAACGGGUGAGUAACGCGUAGGUAACCUGCCUGGUAGCGGGGGAUAACUAUUGGAAACGAUAGCUAAUACCGCAUAAAAUUGAUUAUUGCAUGAUAAUUAAUUGAAAGAUGCAACUGCAUCACUACCAGAUGGACCUGCGUUGUAUUAGCUAGUUGGUGGGGUAACGGCUCACCAAGGCGACGAUACAUAGCCGACCUGAGAGGGUGAUCGGCCACACUGGGACUGAGACACGGCCCAGACUCCUACGGGAGGCAGCAGUAGGGAAUCUUCGGCAAUGGGGGGAACCCUGACCGAGCAACGCCGCGUGAGUGAAGAAGGUUUUCGGAUCGUAAAGCUCUGUUGUAAGAGAAGAACGGGUGUGAGAGUGGAAAGUUCACACUGUGACG
rnacentral:rRNA from 1 species